rnacentral:rRNA from 1 species
CGGGUGAGUAAUGCAUAGGAAUCUACCCAGUAGCGGGGGACAACCUGGUGAAAACCAGGCUAAUACCGCAUACGCCCUACGGGGGAAAGCAGGGGAUCUUCGGACCUUGCACUAUUGGAUGAGCCUAUGUCAGAUUAGCUAGUUGGUAGGGUAAUGGCCUACCAAGGCGACGGUCUGUAGCUGGUUUGAGAGGAUGAUCAGCCACACUGGGACUGAGACACGGCCCAG